rnacentral:rRNA from 1 species
AGAGAGAGACAUGCGCGCAUAUCAAUAAGCGGAGGAAAAGAAACUAACAAGGAUUCCCUUAGUAACGGCGAGUGAAGCGGGAAGAGCUCAAAUUUGAAAUCUUCAAGGUUUUACCUUGACGAAUUGUAGUUUAAAGAAGUGUUUUCUGCUGAAGUUUUGGUAAAAGUUCUUUGGAAUAGGACAUCAUAGAGGGUGAGAAUCCCGUAUUUGACCAUUAUUUUCAGCUUUGUGAUACACUUUCAAAGAGUCGGAUUGUUAGGGAAUGCAGUCCAAAAUGGGUGGUAAAUUUCAUCUAAAGCUAAAUAUUGGCGAGAGACCGAUAGCGAACAAGUACCGUGAGGGAAAGAUGAAAAGAACUUUGAAAAGAGAGUUAAACAGUACGUGAAAUUGUCAAAAGGGAAGCGUUUGACACCAGUGUUGUUUUCUCGAAAAUCAAUUAAAAAUGGCUCGAUUUUGUAUUGCUUGAGACCUUAAAAGCUCACUGUACAUUUUUCGUGUCUUUUUUAAUGCACUUUUCGUUUAACAAGUCAACAUCAGUUUCUUUUGUUGUAAAAGGGUCAUUGGAAGGUGGCUUUCUUUUCGGAGAAAGUGUUUAUAGCCUUUGGCCUCUGCAAUCGGAGAGACUGAGGUCUGCAGCGUAGACUCUUCGGGGUUAGAUACAUUUGUGCUAAGUUAUAGCUUUUUAUAGACAACUUGUUGACUAUAAUUAGUCUUGUAGCUUACUCGCUUAUGCUAUUUUACCUACGCUUAGGAUGUUGAAGAUGUAGCACAUCAU